CCUAAAUCCGCUGCAGACGGUCUCCUCUCGGCAAAGGGAGGAGCCAAGAGGGAAUGCGGUGCGGGAUCUGAAGAUCUCAAAUCCGCGGCUGUCCCCGCAACUGUAAGCGACGAGCCUCAGCCGAAAACCACUGGGAUGUUCCCGGGAAGGCGGCAUCCGAGGCGAUGACCCGCGAGCCAGGAGACCUGCCGUCUGAGACAUAAAGAA
rnacentral:ncRNA from 2 species